rnacentral:tRNA from 2 species
CGGGACGUAGCGCAGCCUGGUAGCGCACUACACUGGGGGUGUAGUGGUCGGAGGUUCAAAUCCUCUCGUCCCGACCA